CAGCCGCCGCGGGAAAACAGAGGGUGCGAGCGUUAAUCGGAUUUACUGGGCGUAAAGCGUGCGUAGGCGGCUUUUUAAGUCGGAUGUGAAAUCCCUGAGCUUAACUUAGGAAUUGCAUUCGAUACUGGGAAGCUAGAGUAUGGGAGAGGAUGGUAGAAUUCCAGGUGUAGCGGUGAAAUGCGUAGAGAUCUGGAGGAAUACCGAUGGCGAAGGCAGCCAUCUGGCCUAAUACUGACGCUGAGGUACGGAAGCAUGGGGAGCAAACAGGAUUAGAUACCCCUGUAGUCCCUGUCUCUUAUAC
rnacentral:rRNA from 1 species